ensembl:lncRNA
CGAGCUAGCAGCUUGACAACCAAAUACCAGACGAUUAAUAGUAGCUGUAGUAUAGUUGUACAAGCAGUAGUAGUAAUACUAAAAGUACAAGCAGCAGUAGUAGUAUAAACAGCUGUUAGAGUCGUAGAAGUAGUAUCAGCAUUUGUAAUAGUAUUACAAGUUGUAGUAGCAGUGCCAGUAUCAGCAGCAGUAGUUAGUGUGCUACCACUACUACUAGUAGUAGUCGCAUUGCUAUUACUACCACCAAUACUACCAAUAGUAGUUAUAAAGCCUAACUCAUGUAUAUCCAGAUUACCAUCUAUGUUCUUCCACCAAACCCAUUUUAUGAUUGGGAUUACAGGCAGUUCUUUAGGACUGCUCUCAAAUAAUUGAAAUGUUACUAAACAAGGUUAUACUUAUCAAAUUAAAUAGCUCUGGUCUCCAGUAUAUUGGUGAAUUCGGUUCUUUGUACUUAAUUUAUUAGCAUGAUUUCUUUUUAAUAUGUUGUGUAGAGACUUAUUUACUUGUCUGUCUACUUUUCUUACUCCAUGUAGGUUUCCCAGAGACUAUGGGUUGAGGAGGAAUUGGAAGUUUGUCGGCUUAGACCUGGUGUCAUUCCAUCAGUGUUAAACUUCCCGGCUCAUCUUGGAAGAGUACGUGCCAGAAAAACCACGACCAAGCAGCCUUGAGAUCUUAGACAGCGUCUCCCUGAGACCAAAGAACUACAGACUCUUCACAACCUGCUCAAACUCUUGGUACAGGACCUCACCACACGGGUCAAGAAGGUUUCCUUCUCAUUUCUACUCUGAAGAUCACCUUCUCCUGCUCAAACUGCUGACAAAUGUUUCUGCUGCUCUAAAGUCUGCUCUCCAGAACUUCCUAAAAACUCUGAGUCUCUUCUGCUGCAGGCUGCUUUGUAGAACUGUUCCAGAAAACCUCACUAAACCACAUGGAGGGGCCUCAAGAUAGUCGUCCAAAUGAAACCGUACAAAAACCAAACUAGCACAACCCAAACGCUAAAGUCUCCUGCAGUCUACCAGAGAAGCUCUGAGAACAGAGAAUCAGGACAGGAACUCUUACCUUCUGGACAACCAACGCUGGUUCUCAAACAAGAAUACAGAAUGUGUCUGACCAAAAACCUCUGAAGACUCACUACAGCCAAGAUAAAGACACAACUCAGCUGCACCAAAUCCACUAAUCACUGCACACAUUAGCACCAUGUGCUAACUGUGGCUAAAGAACCACAUUUACCAAGACAACUAUCCAGUACAAAGCCCUAAAACACACCAAGAAACACAUUAAAGACGAUUUUACUGCUGGAAGCUGCAAGCCAACGCCUAAAGAACACACUAAAGCAACGGAACCAAACCCAGUUCACUGGUGAAGAGAAGCAGAGGAAAUGUUUGUCUGCAGCUAAAUAAAGCAGGAAGACACUGAGCUGCUCAGGUGUUCCUGAUAACACCAAGCAGCCACCUGGACAGCCAAUAGGAACACAGCUUCCUGGAAGUCCAGAGGGCGGGCUUAGUGAAGGAAAUUUAAUUUAAAGUUGAAGCAGAAAGUUAACAAAGAAAGUUGAAAACCACCUUCUGAUACCUGAAAUCUCUGAGUUUUCACACAAAGAACACCUGAACAUGUCAAACUGGUUCCAUAGUAGAACCAUCAUUGUAAAAACAUCAUAGUAUGGUGUGUUGCUCAAAAAACAUUAGGACCCGGCUGUCAGGGGCCAAACAUGUAAGAACCAUGAGAACAGAGAGAACCCAACCAGUAGGUCACAGUUUAUCAUCAUCUAAUCAUCUCCUGAAGUCCAUAUGGUGAGAGACAUCAGUAUCUGG